rnacentral:rRNA from 1 species
AACGUAGGUGGCAAGCGUUGUCCGGAUUUACUGGGCGUAAAGAGCGCGCAGGCGGUCGUUCAAGUCGCGUGUGAAAGCCCCCCGGCUCAACUGGGGAGGGUCACGCGAUACUGAUCGACUCGAAGGCAGGAGAGGGAAGUGGAAUUCCCGGUGUAGUGGUGAAAUGCGUAGAUAUCGGGAGGAACACCAGUGGCGAAGGCGACUUCCUGGCCUGUUCUUGACGCUGAGGCGCGAAAGCUAGGGGAGCAAACGGG